AGUGUGGUAUUAAAACAGAGUGUACCUACAUUAGACAAUAAUGACUCUUUUCCACACUAUUGCUCUCGAAAGAUGCCACUAAUAAAGUAAGAAGUGCUGUGACGUUCGGAUUUUAAUACAUAGGACUAUACUUGUAGUAUACUCGUAGUAUAUUUUAUACUAUUUUUUUCGGAUAACAUAUGUUAAAGAGGCGAUUGAAAAACAAACUGAGAGGAAACUCGGACUUAAAUGUGCUGAUCUCAAAAAAUGGCUUAGCAUAGAUCCAGACUUAGUCUUUUAUGAAUGGAUUUCAGCUAAUGGGAGGAAAUGUAAGAUAGACGUGUAACUGGCCGCUCAAAACUUUUAAUCAUAAUAUUUUUUGGAGUGUUUGGUUUUUUGGGUAGAGAUAGGUCCCGCCAACCAUGAAAAAAAUUAACAGGAGAUUUGAGAAACACUAAAAACCUUUUAUUCAACGGACUAAAUGGUGAAAAUGUCAGUCUGGGGACGAGUAACUAGGGAAUUAGUCAAUGCAUCAAACUGUUGUAUAAAUGAACCUGAACCUUCUGAGAGCUUGGCUCAUUUUAUUUUAAGUCUUGACUUGAAGCUUGAAGCGUGUAUUCAACGAAACUCAAUAUUCGGUCAGUAUGGUGACGCUUUCAGCCACUCAGAAUACAGUGCUGCAGUGCGGAUUGGGGCGUGAAUUAGUGCCGGGGGAUCAUACUUCACAGAUUCUAACUUCUAGUUUCCCUCACCGCAACGAGCGAAGAAACGAAUCCUUUGAGAAUCUUAGAGAAGCAUCUUCCAGGCAAAUGUGAAUGCAGGCCAACAGUUAAUUCAAAUGUCUUUUGGAGGUUUAUUUGGAUUACUCUUACCCCUUAUCUUCGGGAUAAACGGAGAACAUAAUAAUGAAACGGCUACGGUUCCGAGAGUCGAGUAUGACAGACUUAAAAGGAAUUUUCUCGCUCAAGAGGAAACGUUAUUCCAGCUGUAUGAGGAACGACGCAAAUUGGAUUUUGAUUUAGUGCGUAUCAGAUUGUGUCUCUCCCAUUCAAAAAUAUAUUUGUAAUUUUUGGA